UCUCCUCUAUAUCAUUGCGGGAUUUCGUCACACUGCAUAUAAUUCACCGUAAGUCUUCGCUUAUUUUUCUCAAUUUCUCGUUGAUUCCAAUCGUUUUCAUCGUUUCAAAUUUGUUCAUUCAUUAUUUAUUAAUUUUUAACGCAAAACAUACAUUGUUCAUUUGUCACAAAUAAUUGAUUGUUCAAUUGUUACACACAACUAAUUGUUCAUUUGUCACAAAUCGUCCAUUGUUCAUGGCUCAAUUGUUACACACAAAUAAUUGUUCAUUUGUCAUACACAUUGUUCAUUGUUCCCGUUCAUUUAUUGAAAUUUCGAUACGAUCCAUCUCGUAGAUCUUCAGUGGUCACUUUAUCACUGCCAGUGCUGAUAAAUGUCAAAUUCAAACACUCAAUAUUAACGACAAUGACUAAAUUUAACCUUCUCCUAUCAACAUUUGACUCUGCACUCACUCUACGAAUGACAAAAUCAACUAUGUCCAAACUAUUUUCGUCUGUCGUGAAUGACUGAGUUCGACAAUGUUAUAAUUGAGAACUCGAUGUUUGAAUCUUUCACUAAGGAUCGUUAACAAUUCGUAUACACCAAUGACCAAACACAAGCGUCAGCGGAUCAGACAGAGUAAACUCACUCAUCCCUUUCGUCAAUCAUCUAUUUGAAUUGUUCAUGUCACACUCAUACAAAGAACGAACGUAAUGAAAACGAAAGAGACAAACAAUUAUUUGCGCCCCAAAUCCUCACUACUUGUUUUGCUUACAUCUCAUUGGCAGCAUUGCCAGUGCAUGCAGACCUACCCGUUUCAAAUUUCAUUAUCGUCAAAAAAUAAAUAUCAUGAAAUGUUGAAUGUAUCAUGUUGGUUCUUGAAGAGAUCACAAAACAAAUUCUUUAAAACUUAUUUGGAGCGUGUUUUCAAACAAUCCUUUGCCGCUCAUAACGUUUUGUUGUGAAAAGUACAAGAUACAUUACUCUUCCAUUAUCUAUUCUUGAAACCAAAUAUACAACAAACUAAAAAUUUAUGGCCACACUGUAUACAGCAAAAUCAACAUGUCAAAAAUCAACAAGCGACGAUUGUUGUUAUAUCGAAUGCUUUCCUAUGUUAGUGUUUCAAAUAACAGAGAUCGUAUCCUAAUAAUAAUUCCGCGGCUUUUAACGUACCCCUCCUGCUUGACGUUGGAAUUCGCUCUAAUCUCGCAGCCAUCCGCUACAUAGUUGCUAUUCGUCGACGCAGGAUGGAUCGAACAACGGUACAACAUACAGUUUGACGAAUCACGUAUCUGUAUAUGAUGAAUAAUCGUUACAAAGCAGAUGAUGUGCGGGACUGAUUGCACUGUGGUUAAACAGAAAAAUUUAGAGAAAUUCUCAGCAAGCAUCAGUUUCAUCUACCUGCAAUUCAGUAUGUAGCAACUGUCUAAUAAACUGGAAACCGUUCAACCCUCAGUAUAAAGUGUUUCAUUGGUUCAUCAUAUAAACUGUAUGAAGAUGUUGCGAUGAGUAAAU